GAAAAGCACCUCGGUUGCUCUUUCCGCUUGGCCUUGGAGGGUGGAAGGUGCCACUGGAUAAGUGGUGGACUCUGAAGACUCCUGGAAGAAUUUCUCAGAAGUCAAAUUGUCUGGUUGAGUUGAGGAGCCCAGAGAUAUCUGGAAGAAGUCCCCUUUUUUUUCUCCUGGAACUUUUAGGAAUCCUGUAAAACUAAAAUUAGUCCUUGUCCUGUAGCGUUAACAAUCCUUAGUCACCUGGGGCAUCUUUGAUUAUCCUGUCAAGUUGGGUAAUUCUCGAGACUCUUGAGGAAAUUCUUCAAAUCAGGAUCAUCUUUCUGUGUGGUGCAGCAAUCCAACUCCAAACAGGUCUUUAGUCUCCAGCCCAUCCGGCCACAUCCACAGACAUGAUCAUCAGGCUGGGAAGACUGACACCAGGAUACUUUCGCCUCCUCCAGAGGCAAGUGGCAGGCGAGGUGCAGACGCAGCCACAAGACCGUGCCAUCAAUCAGAUUGCCAUGAUGCUGGCCAUCAUGGGUCUCAGUUUAUCCUACUACAGCGCCAAGCAGAUGACGGAGAAGGUGCAUGCCCACCCGGCGCCCUGAAGCAUAGACAGACGGACAAAUGAGAAGUCGAGGAAAAUCAAGCUAUGUCGAUAUGAUUGCAUUUUUUGGUUUGUUUUAUUUUCUGCAUCCAGAGUGUAAGGGAUGCAAGGGACUGUUCUGAUCGCAUGUGGAAGAUGACGCGUGGCCGUUGCAAAGAUGCAUGCAAGCAAGGGGAAAGUCGCAACGUGGGGCUGGGGGGAAAAAUGUAAUUUAGUACUUGAAUUCUCCAAGACUUUGGAGGAUAUUUUGCACAAUCAUGCAGAAACUGUUUUUAAAACCAAAACACGUGUCACUACUUAUUUGUGAAGUCACACACAUCUAAUCACAUUGAGCACCUGUGGACGUUUUAAAACAGUGUUGUUGUUUUUUUAUCAAUGUAUGGACUAAUGUCACUUUUUUGUAAUGAUUUAAUAAAUCUGUGAAUCCUUUUUUCCAACAA